UGAAUAAAUCCAAGCUGAAAAUCAAAAGGAAAAAGGUUUCCAAGCCCGAAAAGAAGAAGGAAUAAGUCGCUCUGUUUAAUGAUUCUUAUUCGUCCUUUGACUCGGUUUUUGGAUUCUAUGAUCUAUCUUUUUAAUAUCAUAGAAAUUCUUCUGCACUUCAUCUCAAAAUUAAGUUUAUUGCUGUCAUUCAAAAA
rnacentral:ribozyme from 12 species